rnacentral:lncRNA from 1 species
GAUAACAUAAACAGAAAUAAGAGAUAAGAAAUAAUAACAAUAAUAUCAGAGAAUUCCGAAAUAAGAGAAAAUACGAGCAAUACGCAAUAAAUAUAAGAAAAUGGAUACUCACCUAGUAGUGACAUACUUUCACAAUACCUAAGACACUCACCACACCCAAACUCUCCUAACCUCUAGCCACAACCCACACACUCACACUAGCCUUCUACCCUAAUCCGCGACCUCCACACCUUUCUAUCUAGGGUCAUGUCCUCAGUAAGCUGAAGCUGCUCCAUGUCAUGCCUAAUCACUUCCUUCCAAUAUUUCUUUGGCAUAACUCUACUCCUCCUGAAUCCAUCCAAAGCUAGCCUCUCACACCUCCGAACAGGGGCAUCCGUGCUCCUCCUCAUCACAUGCCCAAAUCAUCUCAAUCUGCCUUCUCGCAUCUUGUCCUCCACCAAAGUCACUCCCACCUUCUCCAAAAAUAUUUAUAUAAACCUAUAUAAAACCUCAAAUCAUGCCGCAAUAGAUAUUCACUCCCCAAAAGUGGGGGUGGAUUAUUACAUUCUUAUUGCUAAUCUUAGUUUUUGAUCUAAUCAUAGUAAAUUACUAUGAUUUUGUAUAAAAAGAAGUUAAAUAAAAGAAAUUCUCAAAGAAGUUGCCAAUAAGUUCUUUUAGCAAUAAUUGUUAUAAUAAUAACUUAUUAUCAAUCAUAUAAAACAAAACAAAAACAACAUACUACAUUUUAUAAUUGUUACACUUUCUCAUUUUUUUCUAAUUAAAUCACCAAUAAUAUUAGAAAAAAAAAACGAAAAAAUCCCCUCUUAAUCUUUCUCACCUUAUUUCCAUUACUACUAAUAUUUUCUCCUCUCUUUGAGCUAUAAAAUCUUCUCAUCUUCGCUACGUCUGUCUCCUCCGAUCCCGUCAGCGACGAUGAAUAUCUGGCCUCUGGAACAACAGGUAAAAUCAUCAUGUUACGUUCGAUCAAAUUGACAAGUGAAACUAACUCAUAUGAAUCAUAUAAUGGGCUUCCACAAUCCCAUAUAAUAGAAGAAGAAAUUUGAUCAACAUGUUCUCCUUUAUUGUUCAUUUUUUUCAUUAAACCCUUUGUGUCCAAUUGAUAGCUAGCAAGAUUAUAUAUAUAUUUGGACUAUGAUCAUUAUAGCUAUUGGAAAAAAAUAAUUAUAUAAAGGUUAAGUUUGACGCAGUGUAUUGGUUUUGUUGGGAGAUAAUUGGAGUAUGUAAUAGUUGUCUCAUGCAAAAUAUUACUAGUAAUGACGUUUCUAUCAAAUUCUAGUAUAUGGAACUUAAUUCUUGUAGAUUUCUUAUAUGACAUUUUGUGUGGUUAAAGUUAUAAGAUUCUUAAAUAUUAAAUUCUGGCCACAUCCGAUUUUGUAUAAUUUACAACAAUGGAAAAGGUAGGAAUAUAUCACGAAAUUUGAUAAAUGGUACAGAUAUAUCUUUUGUCAUAUUUUAGAUAUAAAUAUAUCUUUGUCGUUAAUUAAAAGACACAUAUAUACCCUUCUCACUAACGACAGAACACGUAUCAUAAUCCUGUUCAUUUGGACUUUUUAAAUUUAAUUAUCCCAACUCCACCCCAAAAUAAUUCUAAUUUUACCCAUAGUCCACUC